rnacentral:rRNA from 1 species
GAUGAACGCUGGCGGCGUGCCUAAUACAUGCAAGUCGAGCGAACAGAUAAGGAGCUUGCUCCUUUGACGUUAGCGGCGGACGGGUGAGUAACACGUGGGUAACCUACCUAUAAGACUGGGAUAACUUCGGGAAACCGGAGCUAAUACCGGAUAACAUUUGGAACCGCAUGGUUCUAAAGUGAAUGAUGGUUUUGCUAUCACUUAUAGAUGGACCCGUGCCGUAUUAGCUAGUUGGUAAGGUAACGGCUUACCAAGGCAACGAUACGUAGCCGACCUGAGAGGGUGAUCGGCCACACUGGAACUGAGACACGGUCCAGACUCCUACGGGAGGCAGCAGUAGGGAAUCUGCCGCAAUGGGCGAAAGCCUGACGGAGCAACGCCGCGUGAGUGAUGAAGGGUUUCGGCUCGUAAAACUCUGUUAUUAGGGAAGAACAAAUGUGUAAGUAACUGUGCACGUCUUGACGGUACCUAAUCAGAAAGCCACGGCUAACUACGUG